rnacentral:misc_RNA from 1 species
AAGUCGUAACAAGGUUUCCGUAGGUGAACCUGCGGAAGGAUCAUUACCGAGUUGUCUGCAAAGACUCCUCCCACCCUUGUGAAUGAUGCGGAUGAGCAGCUUCGGCGGGCCGUUUCUGUUUGGGACAUCCUCUUCGGAGGGAUGUUACAGGACAGGAACAUCGGCCUUUGAGCGGAUCUGUGCGCGCCGAAGGAAACAACUCUGCUAAUUUGAAGUCUGAUAAACUUGAUAAUCAAUCAAAACUUUCAACAACGGAUCUCUUGGUUCUG